rnacentral:lncRNA from 1 species
AAAUAUUAUACAACUUUAAAUAAAUUUAAGAUGACAUUAUGACUUAUUAGGCCACAGUUAAAUAUGAGCUUCAUCUAUUAGUGAGUCAAUCAUAGGAUUUUCACACAUGGCUUUUGUUCACAGUAAGUUAUAUCAAUUAAGUUGCUUAGAAUGAACAUAUAGCUGAACUAAUAAGCAUGAAAUAUUUUCACUGAUUUAUAAGAAUCCAGAAAUUAUCAAUGAGUUUUCUUUUUCUAUUAUUUAAAAAAGUUUUUGCUUGGCAAAUCUUCCCCUCUAGGAGAUUAAAGUAUUUUUUGCUCAUUAAUCAAUGUAAGAACACCUUACUUUACAUUCAUUGAACUCUGAGGUUAUAGAACUGUGAACUUUUCGAUUUGUUCGGCUUGGGGAAUGUCAUAGUUCAUUCUGUGAGUGGAAGUUGCCUUUAACCACAUGAGAACAAAUAAGGGAAUAUUAAGGUUUUAACUCAAGGCAGCUGAUAUGCAAUGGCUGGGAUAAUGGCCAUUACCUAAAAGAAAGAAGGCAGCAAAUGGUUCCAGACAUUUAUAAUUAUGCAUCUGAAGUCAGAACACCUUUUCUUUUUAAACAUUUUCAAUUUGUGAUCUGCUUGAGGACUUGUACAUAGAUAGGCUCAAGAUAUUUUGAGUCACAUAUGUAAAUGAAAUGUUUUGAGCAAAGUUGUAACCCUGCCCACAAAAUAGCUUUGCUAGGGAACAGAUGUAACUUGGAGAAGUACCAAUUUUGUCAUUCUAGAUGAGAAAUCUUCUGGUGCCAUCAAUGGGAUGCAAUUUGGCUAGUCACACCUGGGUGACCAAUAUCCGGAGGCUCUACGUCAAGUCAUUGAACAUGGAUGGAUGCUCCAUUAAGUCAUUUAAAAUAAACUUCCUAGCAAGUGAUCUCUAGCAUCUCAAUUUAACUGUAUCCUUUGGAGAUUUAAGGAAAACUGACAAAGCUAAAAAUACCUCUGCUAGGGGAUCUAUUAGUAUUCUCCACAUUGCUACUGAAACUUGCUGCCUUUUCCUAGAAGCACAUGAAAGAAACCCUGGUCCAAGCGAACUGUCUCCUUCACCAAAGCCACCUUGGAGAGAGCCCACACGGAGACUGGAGAUGUAGACUAUUAAGAGCACUCAGCCACAGAGUCACUUUGGUUGUGUCACUUAACCUCUGUGCUCUUCUAAGCUCCAUUCCUGGCUUGUGUUGCAGGGAUGUUUUGAGGAUAUGUUGAUGUGUGUGACUCCUUCUCUGUGUGUUGCUAUUAAAGACAUUAAGAACUGAGCUGAGUAACAAACUUUCUAGAAAUGAAUGAAGAAAACAUAGCAAAAUUAUACCUAUUUUUUUAAAUUGAAGUACAAAGAAACUGUAGCUAUAAUUAUCUUUCUUGACACUAACAGUACAUGAUUCCUAAAUGCUAUUGCUCACCUCA